AACGAACGCUGGCGGCAGGCCUAACACAUGCAAGUCGAACGCCGUAGCAAUACGGAGUGGCAGACGGGUGAGUAACGCGUGGGAACAUACCCUCCGGUUCGGAAUAACUCAGGGAAACUUGAGCUAAUACCGGAUACGUCCAAGGUUCUAAUCGGCCUCGGAGAAAGAUUUAUCGCUGGAGGAUUGGCCCGCGUCUGAUUAGCUUGUUGGUGAGGUAAUGGCUCACCAAGGCGACGANCAGUAGCUGGUCUGAGAGGAUGAUCAGCCACAUUGGGACUGAGACACGGCCCAAACUCCUACGGGAGGCAGCAGUGGGGAAUAUUGGACAAUGGCGAAAGCCUGAUCCAGCCAUGCCGCGUGAGUGAUGAAGGCCUUAGGGUUGUAAGCUCUUUACCCGGGAAGAUAAUGACGGUACCGGGAGAAUAAGCCCC
rnacentral:rRNA from 1 species